GUAGGUGAACCUGCGGAAGGAUCAUUAUUGAACGAACUUGGUGUGGUUGUAGCUGGCCCUCUCUCCGGGGGCAUGUGCACACCCGCCAUCUUUAUUUCUCCACCUGUGCACAUCUUGUAGACCUGGAUAGACUUUCCGAGGCAACUCGGUCGGGAGGACUGCUGUGCGUCACUGCCAGCUUUCCUUGCAUAUCUAGGCCUAUGUUUUCAUAUACCCCAUAGUAUGUAACAGAAUGUAUCAUUGGGCCUCGUGCCUAUAAACUAUAUACAACUUUCAGCAACGGAUCUCUUGGCUCUC
rnacentral:misc_RNA from 1 species